GGAUCCAGACUUUGAUUCUGGCUCAGGACGAACGCUGGCGGCGCGCCUAACACAUGCAAGUCGAACGAGCGAGAGAGAGCUUGCUUUCUCGAGCGAGUGGCGAACGGGUGAGUAACGCGUGAGGAACCUGCCUCAAAGAGGGGGACAACAGUUGGAAACGACUGCUAAUACCGCAUAAGCCCACGACCCGGCAUCGGGUUGAGGGAAAAGGAGUGAUCCGCUUUGAGAUGGCCUCGCGUCCGAUUAGCUAGUUGGUGAGGUAAUGGCCCACCAAGGCGACGAUCGGUAGCCGGACUGAGAGGUUGAACGGCCACAUUGGGACUGAGACACGGCCAGACUCCUACGGGAGGCAGCAGUGGGGAAUAUUGCACAAUGGGGGAAACCCUGAUGCAGCGACGCCGCGUGGAGGAAGAAGGUCUUCGGAUUGUAAACUCCUGUUGUUGGGGAAGAUAAUGACGGUACCCAACAAGGAAGUGACGGCUAACUACGUGCCAGCAGCCGCGGUAAAACGUAGGUCACAAGCGUUGUCCGGAAUUACUGGGUGUAAAGGGAGCGCAGGCGGGAAGACAAGUUGGAAGUGAAAUCCAUGGGCUCAACCCAUGAACUGCUUUCAAAACUGUUUUUCUUGAGUAGUGCAGAGGUAGGCGGAAUUCCCGGUGUAGCGGUGGAAUGCGUAGAUAUCGGGAGGAACACCAGUGGCGAAGGCGGCCUACUGGGCACCAACUGACGCUGAGGCUCGAAAGUGUGGGUAGCAAACAGGAUUAGAUACCCUGGUAGUCCACACCGUA
rnacentral:rRNA from 1 species